AGUGAACGCUGGCGGUAGGCCUAACACAUGCAAGUCGAACGGCAGCACAGUAAGAGCUUGCUCUUACGGGUGGCGAGUGGCGGACGGGUGAGGAAUACAUCGGAAUCUACUUUUUCGUGGGGGAUAACGUAGGGAAACUUACGCUAAUACCGCAUACGACCUACGGGUGAAAGCAGGGGAUCUUCGGACCUUGCGCGAUUGAAUGAGCCGAUGUCGGAUUAGCUAGUUGGCGGGGUAAAGGCCCACCAAGGCGACGAUCCGUAGCUGGUCUGAGAGGAUGAUCAGCCACACUGGAACUGAGACACGGUCCAGACUCCUACGGGAGGCAGCAGUGGGGAAUAUUGGACAAUGGGCGCAAGCCUGAUCCAGCCAUACCGCGUGGGAGAAGAAGGCCUUCGGGUUGUAAAGCCCUUUUGUUGGGAAAGAAAAGCAGCAGGUUAAUACCCCGCUGUUCUGACGGUACCCAAAGAAUAAGCACCGGCUAACUUCGU
rnacentral:rRNA from 1 species